CCUACGGGUGGCAGCAGUGAGGAAUAUUGGUCAAUGGGCGCGAGCCUGAACCAGCCAAGUCGCGUGAGGGAAGACGGUCCUAUGGAUUGUAAACCUCUUUUGUCGGGGAGCAAAAGACGCCACGCGUGGCGUUCCGAGAGUACCCGAAGAAAAAGCAUCGGCUAACUCCGUGCCAGCAGCCGCGGUAAUACGGAGGAUGCGAGCGUUAUCCGGAUUUAUUGGGGUUAAGGGGUGCGCAGGGGGAAGAUCAAGUCAGCGGUAAAAUUGAGAGGCUCAACCUCUUCGAGCCGUUGAAACUGGGAGUCUUGAGUGAGCGAGAGGUAUGCGGAAUGCGUGGUGUAGCGGUGAAAUGCAUAGAUAUCACGCAGAACUCCGAUUGCGAAGGCAGCAUACCGGCGCUCAACUGACGCUCAUGCACGAAAGUGUGGGUAGCGAACAGGAUUAGAUACCCCAGUAGUC
rnacentral:rRNA from 1 species